GAAUAUUGUAUAUAAUAUAUAAAAGUAGUACUGUAGGAUAGUGUACAAUGUAUUCUGAUGAAAAACAGUGUAAAAAUGAUGCAAGCUCUAGGUGCAAAAAAAUUAACAAUUAUUAAUAAUUAUUUCCAUCACAUCCUUUUCUAAUAUUAUCUCAUAAUGUUGGUACUAUAAAACAAUCGUAAUAAAAUACGCAUUCAUAUUUUUUACAGUUUUACAUGUUGAUCUCAAUGUUUUCAUUCGCCCGAUAAGCUUUAGUAAUGAAGGUCACAAAUGUCAAAAUCAGCUUUAAUUAUGUACAUACACGCGUUAGGAAUUCAAAUAGUAGUGGCAGCCCAAUGAUGGGAUGUAAAUUUAGUUAGCACACAAAAUGGAUAGAAUAUUAAGAGGUAUUAUGAGAUAUCGUGUUUUAGACAGAGCAAGCAUGGUGAAGCAAUUUGAGCAAGUUAAAGACAAUCCCGUGCCUAAAGCAAUUUUUUACACUUGCAUGGACAGUAGAAUGAUACCUACACGAUUCACAGAAACUUGUGUAGGCGACAUGUUCGUUGGUUUGUAUCCUUUAUACUUACUAAUACUAUAAAUGUGAAAGUGUGAUCGUCUAUUUAUUUGUCUUUCUUUCACAUCUCAAUAAAGUCAGAAAUGCUGGUAAUCUAGUCCCACAUUCUCAAAGCUUUAUAGAUGAAAUGACUAGUUGUGAACCCGCAGGACUUGAACUAGGAUGUAUAAUAAAUGAUAUCAGACAUGUCAUAGUCUGCGGACAUAGUGACUG
rnacentral:misc_RNA from 1 species